rnacentral:lncRNA from 1 species
CAACAUAAACACUACCCAAGAACUAGUGUCACAAUGCUCACAAACUUCUAUGAAUACUAAACACAACCGUUUGAAAGAAAUAUAAAACUGGUUUUCUCGAAUACAUCAGAUAACAGAUUGAUAAUAAAGAUAGAAGAGACAUCGGGUCCUGAGGACGCCUGCAAGGCUACCUCGGUGUCUCGAUGAUCAGAAUGCAAACAACCGUACUACUGCUACUAUUGUUGCCAGUAACCUGUAUCUGUGCAAAAAGAGCGCAUAUUAUAGAAUUAACACAACCGACGCCAUGUGCUGGUAAGUGUCUGGCCUAUCCCGGCGAAGUAGUGAUAAGGCUAUAACCAGACACUCACAUAAACAUAUACAGUUCAAAAUAUAUAUACAACAAAAAUACCAGGAAGAAACAUUAAGUAUUUGGGAAGGGAAACAUGCUCUGGGGUAGUGGCAAAAUAUAAUGUCAGAAAUAGAAUAAUGGAAUUUAAUUCACUUUCAAGUUCAACUCAUCUUGUUGCAGGCAUGCAACCCGUUUUCAUCACAAUAAAAUUUGUAGUAGACGUACCAUUGGAUAUCAUUUGAAUAUAUUAUAUAAGGGAUUGACCCAAUUUAUUAUGUAUAUUGUGGACGGCGUUCCACACGAUCCCAUUUCAAUAUAUAAGUGGUCGGCGUGCCACACGAUCCUAUUUCAAUAUAUAAGUAGUCGGCUUGCAACACGAUCCCAUUUCAAUAAAUAUGUGGUCGGCAUGCCACACAAUCCCAUUUUAAUAUAUAAGUGGUCGGCGUGCCACACAAUCCCAUUUCACUUUUAACAUAGUUCCAAAAAAUAUAUUAUUGGCAAGAGAAAACAAUAACUCGGUGCCAAGGCUCAAAAAUGAAUCUUUGUCUUUUAUUCACUUCUUACUCAAUUAUCAUGUCAUUGUUCGUGCCCACGCUCGAGGAAUUCACAAUUUAUAAUUUGCUUUUCACACUUAUCACAUAAUUUAGAAAUCAACAAUUAGGUGUGGAUGAGUUACGCCAAUAUCAAAUAAUCACAUGUAAAGACUCAUGGUCAUACUAGACCUCCAACGUAUAGAUACUCGUCACCAUGCCUAUACGUCGGACUGCACACAUAGCAAUCAACAAAUAGACUUAACUCUUAUUUCCUCAAGCUAGGAUAGAUCAAACACUUACCUCGAAGAUUUAUGGCUAACUCAAUCCUUAAGCAAUGCCUUUCCUAUCAAAUUUGUCUCCAAAUACUUCAAAUCUCAAUAUAGCCGGAAAAUUGAUUGUUUCUCUAUUCUGAACUCAAAAAUUCAACGAAUAUACUACUUGAGAAGCAACCUUCACAGCUGCAGAGAAAUUCCAUGUCAACACCUUCUUCCGUGCACCAAAAGGUGGAUUCAUCACAACCAUCUCAAAAACUUGACUUUUCCAUUUUUAGUUUCUAAUUCACAUUGAACAAAAUCCAUGUCUAAAUCAAGUUCAUCAGCGUUUGCAUAUGCAAUCACAAUAUUCCAACUUGGAUUUGUGUGCAUCCAUGUUUAUCAUAGCUUUGAAACCUUUUAGAAAACCUUUGAAUUAAAUGAAUUGAGUUGUAAAUACAAGCUUAGUAAGCAACUGGACAAUUUUGGAUAGGAGAUUCUGCCGGCGACAACGAACAGAACCGACAAUCGGAAACCAACUCGAACUAGCACUGAGCUUCGAACAGAUAGCGAUGACCUCGACGGCUCGAUGACUGGAAACCUCUCUUCUAAAUACAAGCUUAAUAAGCAACUGGACAAUUUUGGAUAAGAGAUUCUGCCGGCGACAACAAACAGAACCGACGACCGAAAACCAACUCAAACUAGCACUGAGCUUCAAACAGAUAGCGACGACCUCGAUGGCUCGAUGACUGGAAACAUCUCAAGUUCUGUCACUAUUUCUGCUAUAUUUCCGACCAAUCAUGGUAGCAUAGCUGCUGUCUGUUCAAGUUCGGCUGUCCUUUCUAUUUUUCCUAGGGUUCGCUACUUGUUUCCAUGAAGAAGAAGAUGGUCUAUGCUUCUCUUUUAAACAGAAUAGUGGAAGAAAAAAACGUAUUCCAUCUGAUAAUGUCCACCAAGUGAUCAUUUUCCUUUCUAUGAAAUUCUCACCUAAUCAUCAACUUAUAAAAUUGCUAGUGAAAUGUGUCUUUAAUAUGGGUUCCACCUAUAUUGACU